GAUAUUCUAUUUAGGGUGCUCCAAAUGAGGCCUAAGGUGAAGCCUCAGCAAGCUCCACCCUUCGCAAUGUAGCCUUAAUAAUUUAGUGCUCCUGCAGUCCUUUUUUUUCCCCGCAAGCUUGCGGGGUAGCCUC
rnacentral:rRNA from 1 species